rnacentral:rRNA from 1 species
GACGUAGGGCGCGAGCGUUUGUCCGGAUUUAUUGGGCGUAAAGGAGCGCGUGAGCGGUCCGGUAAGUCGGUUGUGAAAGUCGGGGGGCUCAACCCUCGGAUGCCGAUCGAUACUGUCGGGCUAGAGUCCGGAAGAGGCGAGUGGAAUUCCCGGUGUAGCGGUGGAAUGCGUAGAGAUCGGGAAGAACAUCAGUGGCGAAGGCGGCCUGCUGGGCUGUUGCUGACGCUGAGGCG